rnacentral:snoRNA from 1 species
AAGCAGGAUUCCAACUAGAAUACAGCUGUUGAGUGCUGUGCUGACAUUCCCCCUGCUCAAAAUAAAGUUGUGGGUUCUUACCUAUAUCUGUCUGCUAUACCCCUGUAGCACCCAGGGCACUUGGUCUCAUACAU